GCUUUAUUUUAGCUUACAGGCAACAGUGCCUCAUUAACGGAAGCCAGGGUAGGAUUUGAAUAAGAAACCGGAUGCUUGCUGGCUCACUCACAGGGUCAUACUUAGCUGCCCUUCUGAUAGAGACCAGCACCUAGGGAAUGGUGCCACCCACAGGGGACUGGGCCUUCCAAUAUCAACUGGCAAUGCACUUCCUUACAGAUAUGUCUAUGGAACAAUCUAACCUGGGCAGUUGAUCAAUUGAGACUCUCUUCUCCUUGUGGAUCCAGCUUCAAUGGAACUGACCCCUUCUAGACAUGGCUCUUCUCUGGUCUUCUUAGCCCCUGAUGGUUGCUAGGCAACCCUAUUAAGUUCCCCAGCUGAGAUCACUCAGUAACCAAGUCACUGUAUGGAACUACCUUGGUCUGGCAUCCUCAUCCCUACUUCCUCACUUGCCCCGACUCCUACGGAUCUUGUGCAGCGACUCUCCCAUUUCUGUCCCCGAUGCUGCUUAUUCGAACGUGUCCCUGGGUGUCUCAUGAUCCAACUUGUCAGACAUAUGUCAACUUUAUAGUAUUUUGCAUAAAUCCUUAUUUAAUCACCACGUCAGCUGCACCGAGGAGCCUUCUUCUAUUGAAAAUGCCAGCCAAGAGAAGCCGCCCCUUCCUCGAAAGCCGUGCGUCGGCUAAGUUGCAACAUCAAAACUUGAACUCGGGUCUUUUGGAAUUCAGGACCCGUGCUCUGUUCUCGCUUCAUCAAACAGUCAGAACACUC
rnacentral:lncRNA from 1 species